CUCGUUCAAUGUGUGUAUGUUGACAAAAAUUAGCUUGUGCCAUCAUUUGCGAUUAUCUUGUUGCAGUGUAGUUGACAGUUGCCACCUUCUUCCUGCAGGUUGAGCUUGCCACUGGCCAGUUUCCUUAUCAGGAUUGUAAAACUGACUUUGAAGUUCUAAGCAGAGUCCUUCAGGAUGAGCCCCUUCUUUGCCUGAUGAUGGCACUUUUUCAUCGGAGUUCUGCUCCUUUGUCAGGCAAUGCCUCACAAAAGACUACAACAAGAGGCCAAAGUACAAGAAACUUCUGGAACAUCCCUUCAUAAAGCGGUAUGAAACGAAGAGGUGGAUGUAGCAGCAUGGCUAGCCAGAGUGAUGGACAACUCCCAAGAUGGCCAGUGAAAAGAGGCGGCUUAUGCAGACUCCCAUGGAAGCAGCAAGCAGAUGCCAAAUCGAAUGCUUGGUUUAGUUUCCAACCAGCAGCGGCUUUGCCCUCACAUGUCGACAUGUUUUUUCAUGCGACUGAGCAGGAUGGCACACACACCAGAGUGUAGGAUCCACAUAAGAGGCUGGCAGGUCAUGCCCAUUUUUCAUAGCUGCCCAUCUUGGUGUCGCAGUGUGGAGCAAGGUAUGUAGGAUGCAGU